CCAAUAGCGUAUAUUAAAGUUGUUGCAGUUAAAAAGCUCGUAGUUGAAUUUCGGGAUCAGUUGGUCGGUCGUGCCUCGGUACGUACUGGUCAAAUUGAUUCCUACCUUCUGACGAACCACGAUGUCAUUAAUUUGGUGUCGUGGGAAAUCAGGACUGUUACUUUGAAAAAAUUAGAGUGUUUAAAGCAGGCUCGCGCUUGAAUACAUUAGCAUGGAAUAAUGAAAUAGGACGUUUGAUUCUAUUUUGUUGGUUUCUAGGAUCGACGUAAUGAUUAAUAGGGAUAGUUGGGGGCAUUAGUAUUCAAUUGUCAGAGGUGAAAUUCUUGGAUUUAUUGAAGACUAACUACUGCGAAAGCAUUUGCCAAGGAUGUUUUCAUUAACCAAGAACGAAAGUUAGGGGAUCGAAGACGAUCAGAUACCGUCGUAGUCUUAACCAUAAACUAUGCCGACUAGGGAUCGGAUGAUGUUAAUUUUUUAAUGACUCAUUCGGCGCCUUACG
rnacentral:rRNA from 1 species